UACGGAGGAUCCAAGCGUUAUCCGGAUUCAUUGGGUUUAAAGGGUGCGUAGGCGGACUGAUAAGUCAGCGGUGAAAUCUCUCGGCUUAACCGAGAAACUGCCGUUGAUACUGUCAGUCUUGAGUACAGAUGAUGUGGGCGGAAUAUGACAUGUAGUGGUGAAAUACUUAGAUAUGUCAUAGAACACCGAUUGCGAAGGCAGCUCACAAAACUGUCACUGACGCUGAUGCACGAAAGCGUGGGGAUCAAACAGG
rnacentral:rRNA from 1 species